UACGUAGGGGGCGAGCGUUGUCCGGAGUUACUGGGCGUAAAGGGCACGCAGGCGGUGCGGCGCGUUUCGCGUGACAGCGGAGGGCUUAACUCUCCGAGGAUGCGAAAGACGGCGGCACUUGAGGGCCAGAGAGGGACACGGAAUUCCGGGUGGAGUGGUGAAAUGCGUAGAGAUCCGGAGGAACACCGGUGGCGAAGGCGGGUCUCUGGGCCGAUACUGACGCUGAAGAACGAAAGCUAGGGGAGCAAACAGG
rnacentral:rRNA from 1 species